GGUUGAGGAAGCUUGCUUCCUGAUUCAGCGGCGGACGGGUGAGUAAUGCCUAGGAAUCUGCCUGGUAGUGGGGGACAACGUUUCGAAAGGAACGCUAAUACCGCAUACGUCCUACGGGAGAAAGCAGGGGACCUUCGGGCCUUGCGCUAUCAGAUGAGCCUAGGUCGGAUUAGCUAGUUGGUGAGGUAAUGGCUCACCAAGGCGACGAUCCGUAACUGGUCUGAGAGGAUGAUCAGUCACACUGGAACUGAGACACGGUCCAGACUCCUACGGGAGGCAGCAGUGGGGAAUAUUGGACAAUGGGCGAAAGCCUGAUCCAGCCAUGCCGCGUGUGUGAAGAAGGUCUUCGGAUUGUAAAGCACUUUAAGUUGGGAGGAAGGGCAGUCAGCGAAUACCUUGCUGUCUUGACGUUACCGACAGAAUAAGCACCGGCUAACUCUGUGCCAGCAGCCGCGGUAAUACAGAGGGUGCAAGCGUUAAUCGGAAUUACUGGGCGUAAAGCGCGCGUA
rnacentral:rRNA from 1 species